UCAUGUGAAACUCGCCUUGCAGCUAAGCUCAUGGUAUCUAUUGUAACUGUUAUUGAAUUAGUAGAACCUUGUGUCAAUUGAUUCGUGUGCUUUAUUAGUGGUCAUUACUUGUGGUUGAUAUUCUAAGAACUGUAUUGUCUUGUAUUACUUCUUGGCAAUAUCUAUUAACCUCAUUCAUACCCUUCCUUGUGGCAGUGCACUUUUGCUCUAUUUGAUAUUUCUAUACCACUCUUUGCUUGGUGUAUGUGAUUAGAUGGUACUAAGAGGAAAGAACCAUUUGCCUCUAUUAUCUAUAUUGCAGUCGCUGUGGCACAUGCUUUAAGCUUGCAGAGUUCCUAUACCACCCUCUGAAAUGUUCAUCUUACUCCCACUGCAGGGUUCUGGCACUUCAGAUAGACAUAACUGAACCUAAGUGUUUGACAACCAGAAGUGUAGGACCCUCAUGUGCCCUGGUGGAU